UUACGUACUUAUUCUGAAUCUGUAUUUGAUUUCAAAGAUGUGCUUGUAUUUAAUUUCUAACAAAAUUGAAGAACAAAAAAAAAAGAAAAUAUCUUCGAGUGAACCCAAAAUAAAUCUAAAUUAAAUAACCGUUAUAUAUAACAAAAAAUUAAAUUCAAAUCAAAGUAUUGUAGAAAGAAAUUUCUUGGAAGAAAAAAGGGGAGAAAAUUUCUUACUUAUUCGGUUGCUACUACUCGCUUUCUCCACUUCAAGAUGGAUAGAGAGAGAGAGAGGGGCGGAGAAGGAGAGGGAGAAAGAGCAAGCAAGUAUCGAGAUCCAUAAAGCACGUGUAGUGAAUCGCGUGUGCGCGGAGGAGCACACUGCCGAGGCAUGCUCGUGUCUCACAAAAACGAUUAUUCCGGCCUUCUUGAACCGGCAGGACGGCAUUAUCUCCGUGGAAGAAGCCACCGCCGCCAUUGACGCACGAGUAGAGUCCGAUAAAAGAGGCUAAAAGGUAUUCUUUCCUUCGACCUCCGCGCAGUGUUAUCAUCGCAUGCGAGCCGCUCGUAAGAAUCGUCCACGAUAAAAGCCCGAUCUUCCUUGUUCGUCGUUCUUGGAUCAACUCUUUCUUUAUCCCUUCUUCUUCUUUUAUAUCCAUUUUGUCUUCUUCGUUUUCCUCCGUGCAUUUCCUUUUACGCUUCGUUCGAAUUUUUUUUUCUUCUUCUUCUUCUUUAUUUCUGAUCUCGAAUCUAUAUAUUGCGAUUUUUAUAAUUCUUCUUUUUUUUUUUAGAACAAGAUUAUUAAUAAUAGGUAAGAUAAAGUAUUGGUGAAAUUCAAGGAAAUAUGUAUUGUAUUGUAUUUUUGAUCGUUAUUGACCGUUUUUGAAGUUUUUUUUCUUUUUAGAAAUGUGUUAGAAAAUGUGUUAAUUUUAUUGGAUGUUCGAUUGAUGAAAAACUUAAGGUGAGAUUAUAAUUUAAGUUAGAAGAAAUGAAAGAUUAAGAAUUCAGAAAAAACUUUUCUUUAUGCAAUUUUUAACAAUUUUUAAAUAUUAAUUUUUGUAUUCUUAUGAUUAUUUUCAUUUUGGCUCGUUCUUUUAAAUUGUUGGAUCUAUAUAAUGAGGAAAAAAGAGAGAGAUAUAUUUAUUUAAUUUUUUCUAUGCUUGCAAUAAAUUUUUAACGUUAUCUUUAUUUCUUUUCUGCGAAACGCUAUAAUAUAAUCUAUUUAAUUUUCAUAGAUGUAGUUCUAGGAGAGAAUGAGCCAAAAUGGAAUUACACAGUUGCUUAUUAAUUUUGCUUAAGUUUUAUUUUCCUGGAAAUGCUGCAAUCUUAUUUGUUGCACACAUAUUAUUGUGUAAUUUUGUUAUCAUUCGAUACUUUUACGAUAGCCGUGUCUUUAUCGUUCCGGUUUUCAACUAAAAAAAGCGCUUUGACUGGUUUAUUUCCUAUUCUCGACAUAUAUUGCUCAUUUUCUGUAUCAAAAAAAUAUCAUAGAUAUAACAAUCCUAAGUCUUUUUGCAAUAUUUGCAAUCAUCGAAGUAUAAUAUUUUCCUACUAAGUAAAUAACAUUAGAUACAAUAAUCCGAAAAAUCGAAAAAUGUAUUUAUAUAGACACGUACGUAUCAACAAUCUCUUCCACUUUCAUACAAAAAAAUACCCAUCCCCUUUAUUAAAAAGAAAAGAAAAAAGAAAAAGAAAAAUUCCUUUCACCACCCUCACAAAAAUACUACUCGAUGCUCAAUUUGCCAAAAAGAAUGCCAAUCUCAAAUAUCGAGUUCACCUCUACGAUCACCAUCCGAAGAUUUAACCUCUACCCCCUCCUCCUCCUCUCUCCUCCAACGAAAGAAAACUGCAUCCCCCGUGCAACACCCCAUUACACUCCAUCUUCGAAGCGAGGCAUCAUCGCCCCAUAAAAUUCCCCGAAUACCUCCCCAUAAACCACCAUCCUUCCCUCAUUCCCCCUUCCCCUCCCGUGGCUCCCCUUCCCCCUUUCGCGUGGCUCGUCCAUUUUUCUCUGUCCACUCUGGUGGGGGCAUCGGCGGUGUCCCCUUCGGCAGCGUACAAAAGCUUCGGUUUGCGUGCGCCGGUAUCUCCGACCUUAGACCCACGGCUCGGCUCCUUAUUUCUCUUGGGGAGACGAGAAGGCUCGAAAAAACACGGGCGCGCGUGUUAUCGCGUGCGCGCAGGGGGCAUCGCGGCUAUCCUCUGGCCGUGGGUCACGCCGUGGGGUCAUCCUCGUGACCCGGCCGGGCCCGUCGACUCCCGCCUAGCGAUGGGAACGAGACGGUUCGAUCCUCGAGAACGUUCCGUUGUUCCGAAUGAGCGAUAACUCGGGUGAUGGCUUCCUCGCCGUUUAUUGGGGAGGAGGAAGGGGAGGGUGAUUAAUGGCGAGGGAAAAGGGGGAGAGAGGAUUUUAAACGGGUGGAUCUUGGAUAUUUGAUAUUGGAUAUUGGAAUUUUGGAAGGACGGGUAAAUCUCGAGUGUUUUAGAAUAUUAUUGUAUAUUAUUGUAUUUUCUACGUUUUUGUUGUGGAUAAAGAAGAGUUUCUUUUUUUUCUCAAAUUCAUCAAUAUUUAUAAUAUAUUUAAUAAAAGCGGAAAGAGGUGAUUAGAAAUUAUAAAUAUCGAGCGUAUGCCAGCCGAGACAAUGAUAGUUUGGUGGUGUUGAAAUGGUUCUUUUCCACUUGAUUAUACAGAAGUCAUCGAUUUCAAAUGUGACCCAAGAUUUGCAAAUAAAUGGAACCGAGGCUCUAAUCUGUGUAAUUUUUACAUACAUAAAUUCUUUUAUGCGAAACAGUUCUCAUUUCUUUUUCUUAUUUUUUUUUUUUUUUUUUCAUAGAAUUUUGCUAUAAAUUUUUCAUUAUUACACGCGAUGCUCCAACAUCAUCUUAUGAAAAUUCCUAUCAGAAUUUAACUUCGUUACAUUUUUAUUGGCUAAGACGAUCUUUUUUCAUCGAAGUAAGAACGAAAUUAAAUAUGAAUUUCUAUUUUCUAAAUCUCACGAUCUCGUUCACUUUUUAUAUUUUAUCGCAUCCUAUCUUCGUAUUAUCUUAAAUACCAUCUCCUUUUCGUAAUUUGAUUCUUUCAUCAAAACCACCAUUGCAAUUAAUAGUAUCUGCACAAGAUCGUUCCAACCGCAUAGUUACAAGAAGCGUAUCGAGCUCAUGACUCACUCGGUCUUCUAAUAAGUCUUCUGAACGUGGAAAUUCCAUCGAACGGAAGGGAGGGGGGGGAGAGGCGGAAGGACAUCGACUGUACGAUAAUCCAGAAUCUGGCUUCUGAUAAACGGUUCUGAUAAUACAGGCGAUAAACCACAGGAGCUGUUUACUCGUGGCUCAGUCACAACGUACGUAUACACGAUAAACACGUUUAUUCCUGGUCACAUUGCUAUCUAUACACAGUGCUCCCACUGAAUCGUGAUCGAUCUGGCCGCGCAGGCAGAUCGAAAGAUUGUACAAAAGUUGCGAGUGGUUUGAAGAUGUUGGAACUAGAAGAAAGUUGAAAUAGAAGAUUCUCUGAUAUUUAUAGAACGAUUGUCAUAUGUAAGACAAUAUGUAACGUAACUUUUACUAUUGUUUGAAAAUGUUGGAUAAAGAUUAUAUAUAGUUCAGUGAAAUGAUAUCACGUCGCGACAAUGUCAUGAUUUCUUAGACACGAUCACUAAGAAAUGCAAGCUGAACAUUUAAAAUAAAGAUAAUUUAAAACAAGUCACAGAGAAUAUUUAAAAUAUAUAAAUAAAUUCGAUUCCACGCACAAAGUUUCCAGAAACAGUUUCCGUACUCGAUUCGAAUCGAUCAAUCGUUCCAAUUAUCCCCGAUCUUUCGCAUCGAGUCCUAUUAACCGACUGCGCAGCCAACAAUCAAUUCUUUCUGCCGAGAAAAGAAAAAAAAAAGAAGAGCAAGAGAGAGACAGAAAAAAGGAAAGAAAGUACGAAAGGAAAUAAAAAAUGGAUCAUCAUCACGAGCAAUCAGCGUAAUCAUCGAAUCGGCCGGUCUCUCUGAUUGUCCGUUGGUCAGGUAAAAUUAAUAAAUCGAGGGGCCGACAAUCGAGCGGACCCAUCUCGAGCGCGUGACAUUUAAGGGAAAAAGAAAAGCGAGAGUCACGGGGAAGCGAAGCGGCGAGAGAGAGCGUAAUCUCAAUGGUCGUCGGACCGGCUGCUCGUUGGAGCUGGUUGGGGCUGGCCGGUUGGUUUGGCCCACUGGAGCGGACACCCGGAGGAAGCACACCCGCCGGAACGUGGCACGCUUUGUAGCCUCGCGCAUGGUAUACCGGCACACGUGCAGCCACGGAUACUCGCGGACACUUCCAUGCGAGUAUAUAUACUUGGCCGUAUCAUCUACAGGGUGGCCCUUUCAUCUUUGACACGGUGUAUUGUGUUCGUGUCGCGUUCUUUUUAGGGUAUUGUUGUUGGAGGAGGUUUGAGAUAGUCCAUUGUGCUAUGCUUAGUUGCGAUAUUGUGGAAAUAUUGUAUCAGAGUCGAAUGAGAGUGGAGCGAGAUGGAUAUUUCGUUUUUUUUUUUUUUGGGAAAGUUGUGAAUAGUUUGAAGCGAAAUUCGUUCCUGAGAUUUUGUGUAAUCCGAUGUUUGAUAAUAUUCAGAGAGAAGUUGAAGUCUUUUUUGUUUCUCCCUGAAAGCUUUUUCUUUAUUCUUGGAGAUGUUGAAGGAAGUUUUGGGAUGAAAAAAGUUUGAUGAGAAAAUAUGAAAGAUUGAAAUAAGUAAAAAUUUAUUUAUUCGUUAAAAAACAGGUGUAUACGAAACAAUUUCAAUUAAAUAUAAUAUAAAUUCAAUUUC